rnacentral:rRNA from 1 species
CUACGGGGCGCACCAGUCGGGAAUAUUGGACAAUGGGGGAAACCCUGAUCCAGCCAUGCCGCGUGUGUGAAGAAGGCCCUAGGGUUGUAAAGCACUUUUAGUAGUGAGGAAGGCUCAGUAGUUAAUACCUACUGGGAUUGACAUUAGCUACAGAAAAAGCACCGGCUAAUUUCGUGCCAGCAGCCGCGGUAAUACGAAAGGUGCAAGCGUUAAUCGGAAUUACUGGGCGUAAAGCGCGCGUAGGCGGCUUGGUAAGUUGGAUGUGAAAGCCCCGGGCUCAACCUGGGAACUGCAUCUAAACUGCCUAGCUAGAGUAUGGUAGAGGAUGGCGGAAUUUCCUGUGUAGCGGUGAAAUGCGUAGAUAUAGGAAGGAACAUCAGUGGCGAAGGCGGCCAUCUGGACCAAUACUGACGCUGAGGUGCGAAAGCGUGGGGAGCAAACAGGAUUAGAUACCCGCGUAGUC